rnacentral:rRNA from 1 species
UACGUAGGUGGCAAGCGUUGUCCGGAUUUACUGGGCGUAAAGAGCGCUCAGGCGGUCGGAUAAGUCGAAUGUGAAAGCCCCUGGCUCAACCAGGGAGGGUCAUUCGAUACUGUUCGACUCGAAGGCAGGAGAGGGAAGUGGAAUUCCGGGUGUAGUGGUGAAAUGCGUAGAUAUCCGGAGGAACACCAGUGGCGAAGGCGACUUUCUGGCCUGUUCUUGACGCUGAGGCGCGAAAGCUAGGGGAGCAAACGGG